AAAAGCUUGUGUCACUUCAGAUUUCGACCUGGCCUGUAAAGACGCUGAUGCUGCUCAGGUUGCUGUUUGAAAAACACACACCCUGAUCAGGGACCGACUGGCCUCACAUAGCAGAUGACCUCCAGUAGAAGACCUCCUGUCUGGGAGACUGUGAUCUACAUCAACUAGCCGCACGCAAUGAAUCUUGUGGAUAGGCUGGGCAACGAAGGAUCCACCUUCCAUACCGAUCCACCCCUUCAUUUCCCAGGAAAAGAAGGACACAUUUCUCGGUCGUGUUUGAAGAAGCCUUGGAAAUGCAGCAGUCUAGUGGAGCUGCUGUGACGCAAUCGGUCUUCAAAUGCAGCCCACGGAGGAUGCAGCCCCUGAACUGAGACACAGCUAGAGAUUCUCUUAUGACCCAAUUGUCUACUAUAGGAGAAAGACUGUUUUGCCGUAGUAGACAGUCGGGCUGCAACAUUAGGAAGUGUCGCUUCAACUAUCACUGCUUAAAAGACCCUAAUGUCUGAAUGUUGCACCUUAGCUAUUCAGAUUAUUCAGAGUGCCUUUUUGUGUCCAUGUUCUCAUCAUUUAUUCUAUCACACAUUCAUUAACUUGACUAGAGAGCAGGCUGACAAAAUCUUUGCAUUUUAAAGUUGUGUUAAUUUCCAGCAGAACUACACAAAAAGCAGAAAAAACACAAUUCUGACCCAUUAGCAUUCAUAAUUCAUAAUUAUCCUCCCUUUUUAGCUCUGUUUUUGGUCUCUACCUACUCCUGAGGGAAAUAUCUGCUCCAUGAUCCACUGUAUUCACCGCCUGGUCUUUAACCGUGUCUGUCCUCUGUGCACCACAAAACCAAAACUAGGCGUUAAACGAGGCUAAAAAAGGUCGGUGAUGAUUCUCUGUGGAUUUGUCUCUGUGGCUCUGUUCACAUGAAAUGUUCUGCAGUCAGUUGAUUCAUUGUCAAUAUAACAUAAAAUGAUUGUCAGUCACAAGAUGUUAACAUGUAAAGGAAAAGGGAUGAAACUACAAAUUCAGUUCAGGUGGAUUAAAUGUGAAGCUGGCCGACAGAGCAGAGCAGGUACGCACAGUUCACCUCUGCAGCAUGACGGUGUAGCGGUGAAUUAUUUAACAGCUGUUCAACCUUUACAAAUGGCUCUGACCUCCUGCUGGUCCCCUCCAUCACCACAAACACCGCAGUCUGGAGGGACAGACGCUACCAGUCUCCUACAACUGGGUUCUGUCUUUUUUCCCGGAGUUUCUCUUUUCUAUUUCUUCUCCUCUUUUACUUCCUUUCCUCUCAUUCCCUCCGUCCCCUCCCUCCAUCCUGAGGUGAAUGUGAAAAUGUAGAAUAAGCCAACAUCUGUGUCUUUCUUUAAAACACAAAAUCAAACUCUAAAACAUGACAAAGCUUGUGGUACAACCGUGGGCCAAAUCCGUCCCUCCUUUGUCUUUCUCCUCAGAGACUUGCCUACAGCCCGAGUCCAGACCUGCAGAGUGAGUGCUUAAUUAUUCCCUCUGAUGCUCCCUCAGAUGGGUGGGGCCUCAUAACUAAUUAGGAGCAGUUUGUGCAGGAGAUGAAAAGAAAACACACACAGUCUCACCUGCUGGGUAGCCCUGGUUAAUAAUUCAAACAGACCCUCAGGCUGACUCCCACAGACAGCAGGUAUAUUCCUGUGUAGGUACAGUACAGACACACAGCUGCAAGAUUAUAGGAAAUAUAAGAUUAUCCCACUUCGUCUGCUCUGAUGUAGUGGUGAAUUACUGAGUUUCUCACAAUAAAAGUAGAGGUUUUUUUUGUGCUUUCAACAUAUAUUUCAUUUUUGCUUCUUUCUUGUUUUUAUUCUGUCUUACUUUUUACAUAUUUAAUUGCAGAAUUUAAAGACAAAACCUGCAUGUCGAAAUCAAAAGACUGUGUGCAUUUCUCUGUGGACUGAGCGCUUUGAUACUUUCACAGUAUUAAUAUAGAAGCUAGACUUGCUUUAUAAUCAAACAACACAUGGAAAUGUCACAUUACACACUAUGGGACCUUUAACUGUUAACACAAAUUACAGCAUUAAUACUAAUCUUUAAUAUCUAUAUCACCUUAUAUGCAUUAUUUGGUGCAGAAGUCAAACCUCUUGCUCGCAGUUUUCCCUCUUCUACAACAAAGAUCUGCACCUACAUUCAAGUGCAGCAGCAGUAAAAAGUGAAGGUACUCAGCUUAAUAGAAAUCUAAGCUGCUCUGUACCAGCUGUGUAAGGUCCCAGUUUAAGCACUGAUCACAAUGUGAUACGUGGUUUUCACUAGACAUAAAUAAUGGUGUUAAACUGGUGGAUUAUUUUUGCCCAGGACCAGAUGUCGUCAUAAGCUGUUUGGUUUAUGCUGAUAAAUAUACAAUGUUCAUUAACUAUAGAUCCACACAUCUGCACUCAUUCUUAUAUGAAUGAUAACGUGUAUGUGUGUGUUUCAUUUUGCAUGACGUCAAACCAGGCAUCUGCUGCUGUUGCCGUGGUGAUGCCAUACCAUAAUGAGGCCCCUUUAAGACCACACACUGCUGCCGCUGCUGGCAGUCCACUUCAGCUCUGCUCUCACAUUAAACAGCACAUGUGACAACGAACACCUGGAGCCUCGUCAAUAAAACUGACUCAUGAUCAGGUUUCAACAGAAAUCCACGAUCACGUGAUCCGUCACUGAGUCAGUGAAGGUUUUAUCCCUGUGACCAGUUUUCUGUCAAUGUUUUUCAAAAGACUCUCAGGCCUUGUUUGAGUCUCUGAAGACACUUCCAACAUUAUCCCAGAGUCUCGGCUGGAGCACUCGGCUCUGGUUUUGGUCUCAAGCCCGGUGUGGACCAGCGUUACCACUGCAGCAUUACUGGUCACAGCUUCCAGUUUCCCACCAUGAAACUAAACACCAGGUCUUUGCAACAUAACAGCCUACACUUGGUCUGAGAACAGGAACUUGUUGGUGGUUUAUAUGUCAAGAUGUGAGACUAAAGGGGGCGGAGCCUUGCUGUCCUUGCUGCCGUCUGGAACAAACCUGCCUCAGACUUACAACGUCAGUAUCUUCUUUUGAAUCACUGUCACAAAACUUUUGAAUAAUCUCUUAAAUAUUUCACAUAUUUUUACAUUGUUCAUGUCUGUUUCUAUUUUUACUGUGAUUUUAUUUUUAUUUUGAUUAAUUUGCAUGUGUUUUGUUAUUUUAUCCUUGUGAAGUACUUUGUAUUCCAUGAUUUUUAUAAGUGCUAUAUAAAUACAUUUUAUUGUUAUUAUCAUUAUUAUUAUUAUUAUCUUAGCAGUACUGUUUCCUUUGUAUUUCAAACUUCUCUAAAUUCAAAGGAAUGUGCAGAAGCAUCUGACACUUAUUUCAAAUUUGGACAGGACAUAAGCCCUAGACGAGUUUCUUACCUCACCUGCAAAUCCACUUCAUAAAUAAAACUAUAUACAGUGCAUUUGGAAUGU